rnacentral:rRNA from 1 species
AUUGAACGCUGGCGGCAGGCCUAACACAUGCAAGUCGAGCGGAGCGGCGGACGGGUGAGUAAUGCAUAGGAAUCUGCCCGGUAGCGGGGGAUAACGUCAGGAAACGGGCGCUAAUACCGCAUACUAUCAGAUGAGCCUAGGUCGGAUUAGCUAGUUGGUGGGGUAAAGGCGAACCAAGGCGACGGUCCGUAACUGGUUUGAGAGUAUGACCAGUCACACUGGAACUUAGACACGGCCCAGACUCCUACGGGAGGCAGCAGUGGGGAAUAUUGGACAAUGGGCGAAACCCUGAUCCAGCCAUGCCGCGUGUGUGACGAAGGUCUUCGGGUUGUAAAGCACUUUCAGCUGGGAGGCGUUACCUGCAGAAUAAGCACCGGCUAACUUCGUGCCAGCAGCCGCGGUAAUUC